GAUCCUGGCUCAGAUUAAACGCUGGCGGCAUGGCUAAAACAUGCAAGUCGAACGAGAAACAGGUUUCGGCCUGUGGACAGUGGCGAAAGGGCGAGGAAUGCGAUCGAACGUACCCCGAGGCGGGGGAUAGCCUGGAGAAAUUCAGGGUAAUACCCCAUACGCUCUACGGAGGAAAGGCUUGCCACCUUGGGAGCGGCGAUCGUCCUAUCAGGUUGUUGGUGGGGUAGCGGCCCACCAAGCCGAAGACGGGUAGCGGGUGUGAGAGCAUGACCCGCCGCAUCGGGACUGAGACACUGCCCGGACUCCUACGGGAGGCUGCAGUAACGAAUCUUCCGCAAUGGGCGAAAGCCUGACGGAGCAAUGCCGCGUGCGGGAUGAAGCGGCUACGCCGUGUAAACCGCUGUCAGGGUAUAGGAACAAUGACCAUACCCAAAGGAAGGGCCGGCUAAUCUCGUGCCAGCAGCCGCGGUAAUACGAGAGGCCCGAGCGUUAAUCGGAAUCACUGGGCUUAAAGGGUGCGCAGGCGGAUUGGUAAGCAUCUUGUGAAAGCCCCCGGCUCAACCGGGGAACUGCGGGGUGAACUACCAGUCUUGAGGAAGGUAGGGGUCGACGGAACUAUGGGUGGAGCGGUGAAAUGCGUAGAUAUCCAUGGGAACGCCAAUGGCGAAGGCAGUCGACUGGGCCUUUCCUGACGCUCAGGCACGAAAGCGUGGGUAGCGAACGGGAUUAGAUACCCCGGUAGUCCACGCCGUAAACGAUGUGCACUAGAUCGGAGGUCCUCUCACGGAGUUCCGGUCGAAGGAAAACUACUAAGUGCACCGCCUGGGGAGUACGGUCGCAAGGCUAAAACUCAAAGGAAUUGACGGGGGCUCACACAGGCGGUGGAGCAUGUUGCUUAAUUCGAGACAACGCGAAGAACCUUACCUGGUCUUGACAUGCAUGGAUUAGCUCUUCGAAAGUUGAGUGACGCCCUUUGGGUGGAACAUGCACAGGUGCUGCAUGGCUGUCGUCAGCUCGUGCUGUGAAGUGUCGGGUUAAGUCCCUUAACGAGCGCAACCCCUAUCGUUAGUUGCUAACGCGUCGUGGCGAGUACUCUAGCGAGACUGCCGGUGUCAAACCGGAGGAAGGUGGGGAUGACGUCAAGUCCUCAUGGCCCUUAUGACCAGGGUUGCAAACGUGCUACAAUGGCGCGGACAAAGCGAUGCGAUACCGCGAGGUGGAGCAAAUCGCAAAAACCGCGCCUUAGUUCGGAUUACAGGCUGAAACCCGCCUGCAUGAAGCCGGAAUCGCUAGUAAUCGUGGAUCAGCUACGCCACGGUGAAUACGUUCCUGAGCCUUGUACACACCGCCCGUCACGUCAUGGAAGCCGGGAGCGCCCGAAGUCACUGCGAUUCAGCAGUGCCUACGGC
rnacentral:rRNA from 1 species